rnacentral:rRNA from 1 species
AGCGAACGCUGGCGGCAGGCCUAACACAUGCAAGUCGAACGGACCCUUCGGGGUUAGUGGCGGACGGGUGAGUAACACGUGGGAACGUGCCUUUAGGUUCGGAAUAGCUCCUGGAAACGGGUGGUAAUGCCGAAUGUGCCCUUCGGGGGAAAGAUUUAUCGCCUUUAGAGCGGCCCGCGUCUGAUUAGCUAGUUGGUGAGGUAAUGGCUCACCAAGGCGACGAUCAGUAGCUGGUCUGAGAGGAUGACCAGCCACAUUGGGACUGAGACACGGCCCAAACUCCUACGGGAGGCAGCAGUGGGGAAUCUUGCGCAAUGGGCGAAAGCCUGACGCAGCCAUGCCGCGUGGAUGAUGAAGGUCUUAGGAUUGUAAAAUCCUUUCACCGGUGAAGAUAAUGACUGUAGCCGGAGAAGAAGCCCCGGCUAGCUUCGUGCAGCCGCCGCAGUAAUAC